CGCGGGGUAGAGCAGUUGGUAGCUCGUCGGGCUCAUAACCCGGAGGUCGUAGGUUCGAGUCCUGCCCCCGCAA
rnacentral:tRNA from 1 species